GGAAUCUGUUUUUAUAUUUUGAAAAUUCAACCAUUAUAUUUUUAUAAUUUAAAAUGUUAUCUUUUGAAAGACCUGCUCUGUACGUGUGUUUAGUUGGUGAGCGGUUUGGGUUCUUUUGUCGUCGGUUGUCUUUGGGAGCUGGGUUCUUCUCUUUGGAGUUAGACAACUCUGGGGAUGUUACCGACGCUGCAGCAGCAUCCAGUCUAUCCAUAGCCUAGUUGCCAAGAGCUUGUCUCUCUCAUUCCUCGUAGAGUUUCUGAGAACUUUGGUUUGUGCUUGGCUGUGUAAAGAUCCUUGAUGAUGAACAAUGGUUGAGGUGCUCUCUGGCUGUGCUUAAGUUUUCCCGGAUAUGUUUGUGCCAGGCGGAGAAACUCUUCUUUUGCGCAUUAGAUUUGACCGUUUUUGUCCAGAACGUAUUGUGCGAGGAACGACAAUGUAGGUGGCAGUGUCUGUUUCUUGUUUCCUUUUUGUUUGUGAAUCCCCACAGGUCGACCCAUCUAUACCUAGGAUUCUUUAGUCUGGAUUUUAGGCCUAGAUUUUGUAAAGGCUUUGUUAGGAUUAUGGGUUUGCUGGGCUUUUGUUUUGCUGCUUUCCAGGUUUCUUGUAUGUCUGGAUGCAUUAGGAAAAGCUCCAUUUUUUAACGAAAAAUUUAUCUUCGGAUGAAAAAAAACAUUUGUUUUUAACUAGAUUGUCACUCCAAAGGCUCCAAAGCCUUCUGGGUUCCUGGUGGAAUAUGUUCCUUCUCUUUAUCUACCCAUUUUCAAUUUCUUUUUAUAAAAAUAACAGCAGCGAAAGCCGAAAGUGUAACCGUAUCAAUCCACUUCAGAAGGCAUAAGUCCAAAAGAUGGAUCGGUUGGGGCUAGAAUCAAAACCCCAGAAUUUAUGCUAAAGCGAACCGACAUAUCAACCAUCAAUUCUCCUACAUAUACCCAUUCUUGCAGGACAGAGGCCUAGAGAAGUGCCAAGCAAAAAAGGUUGCUGAGAGAAGAGAGAGAUAUGGGUUGGUUAUGGCCAGAGAGAAGGGGAUGGAAGCAAGGAUGGACAGAGAAGACUCUAGCCUCUGUCUCACCACCUCCUUUUCCCUUGCUUGCCAUUUUCUUGAUAAUUUUCCUCCUCCUGUUCGUUUCAUCCUAUUUUAACGUCAAGGACCAGAUGCAGCAUACGCACACUAUGGCAGGAUUCGUCGAAGCUGGGACUUGCCUUGGGGCAUGGUGGCGUUGGUGGUGGUGCUUUUGGUGAUGGUCUCUUACCAAUCAUCCUUUCGGUCUGUGUGGUCUCCGAUUGUAUGGAGGUCUGCUUGGUGACAAGUUCUUCAUAUUAUCAUGUACAGUUUUUUGGGUAUUCAAAAGAGAAUCACAACGUUAGUCGUUCCUUUUUGAUGGAUUACAGUACUUGAGAAGUUCAUGGCCCGGUGAUUGUGUUAUUUCUGUACUCAGUAGCAUUUUAGUAAUCUGAAACCGUCUAAAUA